CAGCAGCCGCGGUAAUACGGAGGGUGCAAGCGUUAAUCGGAAUUACUGGGCGUAAAGGGUGCGUAGGCGGUUUGAUAAGUCUUGUGUGAAAUCCCCGGGCUCAACCUGGGAAUGGCAGUGGAUACUGGCAAGCUAGAGUGUGUCAGAGGAUGGUGGAAUUCCCGGUGUAGCGGUGAAAUGCGUAGAGAUUGGGAGGAACAUCAGUGGCGAAGGCGGCCAUCUGGGACAACACUGACGCUGAGGCACGAAAGCGUGGGGAGCAAACAGGAUUAGAUACCCCCGUAGUCCCUGUCUCUUAUAC
rnacentral:rRNA from 1 species